CAACACUGCACGCAUCACUGUUCUAUGUGGAACAUACGCAACCCCGAGAGGGAGAAACGCCGUGUCCCUGCAGAGCGCAGGCGGGCAAACUGCCUCACACUGAUCACAUCUCCUGAGAGAAACGCUUCCUGUGUGCCACCGGCUCUCGACCGUGAGCUGACACUGAUGUGUGCUGUCACCUCUGCUGCACCUGGAGGUGGGACUGAAACGUAUUCGCACAGGACGGGAAAUCUCAGGCCUUUCGCAUGGCAGGUUAUGGGUGAGAAUUUGUAUACUUCCACAACUCACGGGUGCCAGUACGAGUUCCUGAAUUGUGCAUGCAAUACUCCCCGAACACACCUGCUGGCUGUGGAGCGCUGUAGAAAAGAUGAAGAGGAUCCUCCAUCGGUACGAUAGCAGAGCAAAAGCAGCAGAAGUAACUGUUUGGCUAAAAGGGAGCAGCCUCUGUAGCUGUUUACGGCGCUCAGAUUUCCAGAGGAGUGGAGCCCGUGCUGGAGGUGCAUAAAGAGAGAAACCCCUGGAGCUGACAAAAGGCAAACGAAGAAGCGGAGGGGAGGAAGAUCGGGUGCCGUAUCCAUCGUUCAAGUCUCGGCUUGCGUUCAGUAGUUCAAUAUUACACCCACUCCACCCAUUUUUUGAUUUGAAACUGACAGUUUUUUUUUUCUGAAGCGCUUUACUCCAUAUCACAGGGAGGAAAUGAGAGCACUGAAUUCCACAAGAUGUGAAAGGUGAAAAAUGGAGAAAAACACCCUCCUCCUCCAGAUGUAAAAAAGGAAAACACCCAAAACACAGAGUGAAAACAAAUACAUAAAUAAAUAAAUCAACAAUAGGAGCUGCAGCUGAGAAGGGAGACAUUGCGAAAAAUUGCAGUGGGGAUAUUUUAAAUUGCCGUUGUAUAAAUAAUUUAGGUACCUGUGACAGUGUUGUUGUUCACCAUAAUGUUUGAUGCAUCAGAGAAAGGAGUAAGAUUAAGAAGCCUUUUUUUUUAUAAUUGAUGCCGCGGUGCACAUCUGGUGUUACGCUGCCACCAGUGCACAGCUAUCCUCUUUACAAAAUGACUGCAAAACUGUCAAUUGUCCCCACAGUUGAAUAGUUAGUGGCAGACUCUGUUCCUUCAGCUGGUAUGAAAAGGGCUAUUGCACACAUCUGAACCAUCUUACUUCUGGAGGCUACCAUAAAAGAUCUAAACCAGACUAUUAUGGGUUUGCAUUGAGUGUUUGACACGUUUUGAACAAAAGGCUGGCUGGAUUGAUGGAGAGAAAUAAUGCUUAUAGCUUUCUUGUGACCUCAACUAGACCUUGUAGAACACCCCAUGAUUCAGAGCGUUGUUAUGCCGGCCUAAUACCAUGUCAGUCCCAAUGCUCACGGUUAGCAUCACUCCUCCCUACCUUCGUCAGUAACUCGGCCGAGCACAAAUGACCCUUGCCAGUGCACUGGGGGCUGGCGUGAACUUAAUCACUUGAGCAAAUUGAAACCACUCGCUCUGCAGUAUUUUUACAGGGGUAUAGCAUAUGACCUCAGCCUAUACUGACUGACCUCUGCUUUUGAAAAGGACUCGAGGCCUGAGGAACAUUUUUUUUUUUCGGGUUGAUCCAUUUUAGGUCGGAAUUACCCCACUUGCUGUGUGAUUUAUAACACUGGCGUAAUUCUCUCAUAGUUGACAUUUAGAGGACGUGGUAAAAGUGUUGUUUUCAGUGUGAAUGUGUUUUUAUCAUUGGGGAGAUCCACCACCUUUUGAAGGCCUUCCGGAGCCCGCAGUAAAGUUUCUGACCCUGAUUACGGGUUCCCAGCUCUGGCUCCUAUCAGCGGGGGAGUAGGGUCAACGGCCCUCAGCAAAAAAAGAACCUUUAGUCAACACAACUGAUCUGACACAGUGUCGGAAUGCUCUGUGAUUGAUUCUUGCUGUCCGUGGGAAAAUAUGUAGUGACUUAAUUUCUUAUAUGAGUCAUCUGCCGCCACGAGAGCAGUGAAAGACAUAUGGCGGUGAAAUAGAAAAAAAGAAAAGCGCUAAUCCAGGCGGACGGGUUACAGGCUAGCUGUUAGCACAUGUUUACCUGUGUCUGUUCUUUUGUUCUUUAUCCCAGAGCUCAGCACUGGGAUGUCGGGGGCAUUGAGAGACUUACACAGGUUCACCAAGAUCUGCUUUCACUCAGACUCAUGUCA
ensembl:lncRNA